rnacentral:rRNA from 1 species
GUGGGGAAUUUUGGACAAUGGGCGCAAGCCUGAUCCAGCAAUGCCGCGUGCAGGAAGAAGGCCUUCGGGUUGUAAACUGCUUUUGUACGGAACGAAACGGUCCGGGUUAAUACCCUGGGCUAAUGACGGUACCGUAAGAAUAAGCACCGGCUAACUACGUGCCAGCAGCCGCGGUAAUACGUAGGGUGCAAGCGUUAAUCGGAAUUACUGGGCGUAAAGCGUGCGCAGGCGGCUAUGCAAGACAGAUGUGAAAUCCCCGGGCUCAACCUGGGAACUGCAUUUGUGACUGCAUGGCUAGAGUGCGUCAGAGGGAGGUGGAAUUCCGCGUGUAGCAGUGAAAUGCGUAGAUAUGCGGAGGAACACCGAUGGCGAAGGCAAUCCCCUGGGCCUGCACUGACGCUCAUGCACGAAAGCGUGGGGAGCAAACAGGAUUAGAUACCCUAGUAGUCC